AAGAAGGCACCUACCAAGACAUCAGAUACAAAACGAACACGGAGGGGUCGUGGAGCGAUGGAAGAUAUUAUGUUUAAGCUCUUUGAAAGGCAAACGAAUUGGACUUUAAGACAACUGAUUCAAGACACAGACCAACCAGAACAAUUUCUGAAAGAUAUACUUAAAGACCUCUGUAUAUACAACAACAAGGGAACUAAUCAAGGAUCAUAUGAACUGAAACCGGAGUACAAGAAAGUUACCGAUGGCACUAAUCCUUAAAAGGAGAAGGUUCAAGAAAUAACCAGAAGACCAUUUGAUUCUUAUUUUAGUAUACCGAUGAUUUCAACAGAGAAAGCUA